rnacentral:lncRNA from 1 species
AUUUAUAUAAAAGAUGUAUUACAACUCGCUGCCGCUAACAGAAGCUGGUAACUCUCUGAAAAAGCAUAACGCAAGCGCAGCACGAACCAGCACCUUUUGCUGUUUGCAUUUGCCACCAGCUUCUGUAGAAGUAUUGAAAGGCAAGGUAAAAAGGAAGCCUCGUUUCCGGCCGGCCUUCGUCGCAGGUUCUAUAUGGUGCCUGAGGCGUACUGAAGGCGGACCGGUAACAAGAAAUUGGUCCAGUAGAGGCUACUAGUAUCAAGGGUACGCGUCAUGUUCAACUAUUGGUUGGAGUCAGGUGUGUGUCCCGGCUUGAAGUACAGGCGACACUGAGCGUGCCCGUGGCGUGCCAGGGCGGGGGCGGGCAAAUCUGAGACGCCCGUAACUUGGGUUGCUGACUGACCGUACGUCCAUUGCCCCGGUGCCAUAAUGCCUCUAGGGCUCAACCCCUAGCCCGCGAGCCUUUGCUCGCGUGGGGGCGCACAACAUCUUAGUUGUCGACCUUGGCUUUCGUUUCCAAAUUUUUGUCGCCUGUUCCGGGCGCUUUGAUAAGAUUGGUUCAGACAGGGUUGGGGUUCAGACAGGCGCUCAGCGCCGAGCUUUGGGUUCGAAGUUCCAUGGCGGCCCGCGGGCGGCUGGUCGCAUGAGUUCUUCGGUGUUGUGUUGUCAGUGGUUUCUGUGUUUGCAGGUAGUGGGUAGCCCUCUGGUCGCCCUUGGCCCGGCGCAACGGCUGGCGCAUCGGUGCCUCGCCUGUGUGCUCCUCGGCGCCUUUACUCGUGGCGCCCAGUCAGCCGUCGUCUCUGUCUGCGGUCUUCCUGGCUCUGCAGAUUUUAGCCCUGAGGGUUGUAGCUCGCAGCAUACGGUUCAUGGACCGGUAGGCGCGUGGUGACCGC